rnacentral:rRNA from 1 species
GAUGAACGCUGGCGGCGUGCCUAAUACAUGCAAGUCGAGCGAACAGAUGAGGAGCUUGCUCCUCUGACGUUAGCGGCGGACGGGUGAGUAACACGUGGAUAACCUACCUAUCAGACUGGGAUAACUUCGGGAAACCGGAGCUAAUACCGUAUAAUAUCUUGAACCGCAUGGUUCAAUAGUGAAAGACGGUUUUGCUGUCACUUAUAGAUGGAUCCGCGCCGCAUUAGCUAGUUGGUAAGUUAACGGCUUACCAAGGCAACGAUGCGUAGCCGACCUGAGAGGGUGAUCGGCCACACUAGAACUGAGACACGGUCCAGACUCCUACGGGAGGCAGCAGUAGGGAAUCUUCCGCAAUGGGCGAAAGCUUGACGGAGCAACGCCGCGUGAGAGAUGAAAGUCUUCGGAUCGUGAAACUCUGUUAUUAGGGAAGAACAAAUGUGUAAGUAACUAUGCACGUCUUGACGGUACCUAAUCAGAAAGCCACGGCUAACUACGUG